rnacentral:lncRNA from 1 species
AGUUCUCUGUCAGGUUUCUCUCCAGGUUUUGUCCAGGGUUUUGUUCCAAGGAAACCUCAGAGUAUUUUGCUUCUCUUCCUUCUUCUGUCUGUUUUGUUUCAAUGAAACUCUAGUAUUUAUAGCCUAAUAUUGGUAGCUUAGUGGGCUUUUCAGAGAGGUCCAAGUCUGAGAUUUUAUUUAUUUAUUUAUUUAUUUAUUUAUUUAUUUAUUUAUUUAAAAAAAAUCGUUUUUCUUUUUUCUUUUUUUUUCUUUUUUUUUCUUUUUUUUUAAAUAAAGUUUCUUGGAUCUGAUUCUGAUUGACAUGAUGAAAGGCAAUAUGAAAUGUUAAAUGACCUAAAAAUGAAUGCAUGAAUGAGGAGGGCAAAUUUUGGGAUGUUACAGCUGCCCCUAUUCAGUCAUCAGCUAACCCGAGCAGGAUGAAAGCGAACAGCUUAUCAGACAAACAGGGUGAG